rnacentral:piRNA from 1 species
ACUGGUGGAUUGGACUACUGAAGCCAUAAC